GCUCACCUACACCUUCCUUCCAUUAUCAAAGGAGUCCUCUCCACAAAGGGGGCGGCAUCAUCUCUCCACUUAGGCAAGGGUGGGUCUCCAGUGGCCUUUGGGAAAGCUCUGUUGUCGGGCCUUCUGCCUCAAUUUCCAGGCAGGAGCUGGCUGCCAAACCUGCCCAAGUCUCGGCGUGCCUUAUCCUUGGACAAGCCAGCGUCGCAGAAAUUGUCUUUGGAUAUUGCACUGGUGGAGUUCUCGUGGGCCUGGGGCCUGGCCCUGUUUCACUAUUAGCUAGGCUGGUCUCGAACUCCUGACCUCUGGUGAUCUGCCCGCCUAGGCCUCCCAAAGUGCUGGGAUUACAGGCAUGAGCCACUGCACCCAGCUUACUUAUCCCAGCUAAUUUUUUAACUUUUUGUCUUGCUAUGUUGCCCAGGCUGGUCACAGACUCCUGGGCUCAAGCUAUCUUCCUGCCUUGGCCUCCCAAAGUGCUGGGAUUACAGGUGUGAGCCACUGCACCCAGCCUCAUCACCUGUUAAUUAAGUGCCCCCAUGAGAGAAAGCAAUCUAUUGAGCAUCAACUAGGUGCUGGGGCUCUGCUGGGCGUUUAAUAUAUACCAUUGGGAGCAUUCUCCCUUCCCAAGGUCACGAGCUCUCACAAGCAAAGAUGAGCUCAUUACGUUCAGUCAACUCACACUGGCUCUCCAUGUCAAGUCAUUCUCAUUUUUGUUUGUCAUCUUCCUGUUGUUGUUACCAAAGUCACAGGUAGUUAAGUGUCUCGGUGAGCUGGGAAUCAGUCUGCAUUUACUUGGUGAUGAUUUAAUGAACGUCCAAUUUCCAGUAGAUUAUAAGCGUCAUGAGGACAGAGUCCAUCCUGUCCCCAGUGCCAGCAUGGUGCAUGGCACACAGCAGGCUCUUAACAGAUGUGUAUUGAGCGAAUCAGUGAGUGGAUUCAGCAGCUGAAUGAGGAGGA
rnacentral:lncRNA from 1 species